UCGGAUUGCGUAGCAUGUUUUUCUCUGUAUCGGUGACUGACUGAUGCAAGACACAGUCCAACUAAACUGCGGGCGUUUGUAAUCCAAGGGAAUGAAAUAACAUAGACAACAUUAAUUCAUUAACUUUUUAUUGGAUCGUGUCUGGAACUAGAAAACCAUUCAGACAGAUUCAGGCAGGAUUGCGCUAUUCAGAACCAUGGACUUGCACAUUCUGGAUCACAGACUGCGAGUGACCAGCAUUUGCAAAAAUGGGUUGGUGAAUUUCACUCACCCACUGAUCAAACUCAUAUUUCUGCGGAAAAGAACAAGAUGCAAGUUCUUCAGUCUGACAGAGACCCCAGAGAACUUCACUGUCGUCCUCGAUGAAGAGGGAUUUAAAGAGCUACAGCCCUCGGAGCACCUUCAGGUGGAGGGUUCCGUGUGGCUGCCACUCAACGUCAUCUCCAACGGCAACGCUUCCAGCAGCUCACAAGCGGUGGGUGUGACCAAGAUCGCCAAAUCCGUCAUCGCCCCGUUGGCCCAGCAGCACGUGUCAGUCUUCAUGCUGUCCACCUAUCAGACGGACUUCAUCCUGGUGCGGGAGAAGGACCUGGCUGUAGUUAUCCACACUCUGGAGGAAGAGUUCAACAUCUACAGAGAGGUGGGGGGAGAGUACUCAGCUGUACUCAGCCAAGAUGUCCGCAAUGGCUUCCAGAAGAACGGCAAAGAAGCCCCCCAGCCUACAGUGCACCCGGUGCUGAUACCACCGAACCAGUUCUGUGUGAUGAGUCUAGACCCAGACACUCUGCCUGCCAUUGCCACCACACUUAUCGACGUGCUCUUCUACUCCAGCAGUCCUAAAGAGGGUGCUCUUCCCAGCCAGGAUCUGGACUGUAUCAAGUUCUUCUCCUUCUCCCUGAUCGAUGGCUACGUCUCUCUGGUCAUGGACACUGAGGCACAGAGACAAAUCUGGGCGCACCGCUACAGUGCCAGGGAGAAGAGACUACCGGUGGUCCCUGCUGUUGCAUCUUUGUGUCGGGGGGCAGUUGGAUAUAUCAGGUUGGUAACAGCAGUGUGUGUGUGUUUGUUCUUGUUAGGUUCCCUGCUGAUCUUCUCUUCACAAGUUCUUCCGGGGAGCUGUGGAGGAUGGUGCGCAUUGGGGGACAGCCUCUGGGUUUCGAGGAGUGUGGCAUUGUUGCCCAGAUAUCCCAGCCUUUAGCCGACAGUGACAUCUCCGCCUAUUAUAUCAGCACCUUCAGCUUCGACCAUGCCCUGGUCCCUGAAGAGGACAUAGUGAGUGUGACUGAGAUGCUCCAGCAGCACAGGAAAGAGCCAGCCUGCUGAUGGCGGCCUGGUCCGUACUACGCCCCUCUCCAUGUCUUGGGCCUGGGGCAGUACAGGGCUGGAGGGAGAUGCUAACUCUGUGCCUAGACUAGCACUGCAGCGUGAGCAGUAUUAACCAUGAACUUUGUUGCCAUGACCACCAAAAGCGCUUCUAGUAGGGGGUGUCUGGGAAGAGAGCCUCUUGUCUUCCCAGACUCCUAAAGGACACGCACCGAUUGGAUGCUGCCUGGACCCUGACCAAUGCACACAGCGGGAUACGUGAAUUGGUGAAUUUAAAGUCCAGUUGUGAUGAUGGUAAAACUGUACUUAAGGACUGCAGGUAUAAUGCAUUAUGAUGUGGUUAUAAUGAAUGCAUUCUAAGACUUGUUAUAAGCCUAUAUAACCCCCUUAUGUCUUAUCACCCCAUAACAAGAGCUGACUAAAUAACAGCAAUUUUGAGUCCGUUGAAAAUGUCCUACAUAGAGCGAUAUAACGUUAAAGGGAAAGAGAAAGGGGGAUACCUAUCAUAGCCUAAGCCUUGUCUUAACGCAUUGUUAUAAAGGCGCAUACACUCUUAUAACGCAUUAUACCUGUAGUCUUUUUAUAAAGUGUUACCGUGAGGACUUUCUUAUGUUACUUUCCUGCUUGCCGCAUGGCACGAACAUUGUUACUAGGAUUGUAAAAAAAACACGGCUGAGUCUUCCAGUGAUGUUUAUAUCGUAAUAGUAUGUGUCAAAGACCCCCUUUGUGUCAAAGGUCAAAUUAAUUGUGUGAGUGAAUUAUGUGAAGCACAACUUAUGCUUGGUAUAAAAAAAAAAUCUCCAUUGGUGCGUCAUAUUCGCCACAUCUUCACAAAUUCUACUUGUAGUAGGGCACGUACAUUUUCUAAUCGCACCCCCAAUAGCCUAAGACACUCUUUGAAAUCUCAGCACAGAGUGUUAUUUUGGCCAAUUAUGUUUUUUACGACGUUCAAAAAAGUUCUAACUUAGUGUAUUUGUGGAAAUUAUUCUGUUAAUUGUUAAACAAAUCUAUCAGAAUUGUAUUUUCUUGGAAAACAUGCAGGCAAUACUACAAAAUAUAUUACAAAAAUCCCAUGAUCAUCCAAGGUUAAGUGCGGCUUUAUCCGAUGACGUGAUGCAGUUACAACAUCAAUAAUAAGUUACUCAGAAUUUUUUUAAGGGUCAACAUUUCUUUACUUUUGUAGCUUUGAUACGAUCAACACUAUGUCUUAUUUACAUUUUCUUUUUCAAUUUGCACAAUAAACAACUUUGUUUUUCAUUUCCUUGUAGAUUGAUAAUGAAGCUACUAAUAUCAUUAGAAAUAAUAUUUUUCUUUGGUACAAUGACAUUUUGUACAAUAAAAAAAAAUAUGUUCUGUGAAGUAUUUGUAAAAUGUACUGCUUUAUUCAAUAAAGACUAUUGA